AGAGUUUGAUCCUGGCUCAGAUUGAACGCUGGCGGUAUGCUUAACACAUGCAAGUCGAACGGCAGCACGAGAGAGCUUGCUCUCUUGGUGGCGAGUGGCGGACGGGUGAGUAACGCGUGGGAAUCUGCCUGAUAGAUGGGGACAACUCAGGGAAACUUGAGCUAAUACCGAAUACGCCCUACGGGGGAAAGCGGGGGAUCUUCGGACCUCGCACUAUUAGAUGAGCCUGCGUUGGAUUAGCUUGUUGGUGAGGUAAUGGCUCACCAAGGCGACGAUCCAUAGCUGGUCUGAGAGGACGAUCAGCCACACUGGGACUGAGACACGGCCCAGACUCCUACGGGAGGCAGCAGUGGGGAAUAUUGGACAAUGGGCGCAAGCCUGAUCCAGCAAUGCCGCGUGUGUGAAGAAGGCCUGAGGGUUGUAAAGCACUUUCAGUAGGGAAGAAAGGUCAAGUGUUAAUACCCCGGUGUCUUGACGGUACCAAUACAAGAAGCACCGGCUAACUCCGUGCCAGCAGCCGCGGUAAUACGGAGGGUGCAAGCGUUAAUCGGAAUUACUGGGCGUAAAGCGCGCGUAGGCGGUUUGGUAAGUCGGAUGUGAAAGCCCUGGGCUCAACCUGGGAACUGCAUUUCGAACUGGCAGGCUAGAGUAUGGUAGAGGCAAGUGGAAUUUCCUGUGUAGCGGUGAAAUGCGUAGAUAUAGGAAGGAACACCAGUGGCGAAGGCGACUUACUGGACCAAUACUGACACUGAGGUGCGAAAGCGUGGGGAGCAAACGGGAUUAGAUACCCCGGUAGUCCACGCCGUAAACGAUGUCUACUAGCCGUUGGGGAGACUUGAUCUCUUAGUGGCGCAGCUAACGCAAUAAGUAGACCGCCUGGGGAGUACGGCCGCAAGGUUAAAGUACAAAGGAAUUGACGGGGGCCCGCACAAGCGGUGGAGCAUGUGGUUUAAUUCGAUGCAACGCGAAGAACCUUACCUACCCUUGACAUCGUAGGAACUUGGCAGAGAUGCCUUGGUGCCUUAGGGAACUGAGUGACAGGUGCUGCAUGGCUGUCGUCAGCUCGUGUUGUGAAAUGUUGGGUUAAGUCCCGUAACGAGCGCAACCCUUAUCCUUAUUUGCCAUCAGUUCGGGUGGGAACUUUAAGGAGACUGCCGGUGAUAAACCGGAGGAAGGUGGGGACGACGUCAAGUCAUCAUGGCCCUUAUGGGUAGGGCUACACACGUGCUACAAUGGCCGGUACAGAGGGCUGCGAACUCGCGAGAGUAAGCUAAUCUCAGAAAGCCGAUCUUAGUCCGGAUUGGAGUCUGCAACUCGACUCCAUGAAGUUGGAAUCGCUAGUAAUCGCGGAUCAGAAUGCCGCGGUGAAUACGUUCCCGGGCCUUGUACACACCGCCCGUCACACCAUGGGAGUGGGUUGCAAAAGAAGUGGGUAGACUAACCUUCGGGAGGUCGCUCACCACUUUGUGAUUCAUGACUGGGGUGAAGUCGUAACAAGGUAGCC
rnacentral:rRNA from 1 species